GACGAACGCUGGCGGCGUGCCUAAUACAUGCAAGUCGAGCGAAGCGGCGGAUGGGUGAGUAACGCGUGGGUAACCUGCCCCUAAGUCUGGGAUACCAUUUGGCAACAGAUGCUCUUACCGGCUAUUACAGGAUGGACCUGCGAUGCAUUAGCUAGUUGGUAAGGUAACGGCGUACCAAGGCGAUGAUUCAUAGCCGAGCUGAGAGACUGAUCAGCCACAUUGGGACUGAGACACGGCCCAGACGCCUACGGGAGGCAGCAGUAGGGAAUCUUCCACAAUGGACGAAAGUCUGAUGGAGCAACGCCGCGUGAGUGAAGAAGGUUUUAGGAUCGUAAAGCUCUUUUGUUGGGGAAGCGGUAAUCAACCAGAAAGUCACGGCUAACUACGUGCCAGCAGCCGCGGUAAUAC
rnacentral:rRNA from 1 species